CUACGGGGAGGCAGCAGUAGGGAAUUUUCCACAAUGGACGAAAGUCUGAUGGAGCAACGCCGCGUGAACGAUGAAGGUCUUCGGAUCGUAAAGCUCUGUUGUAAGUCAAGAACGGGUGUGAGAGUGGAAAGUUGCGGUAGUGACGGUACCUGACCAGAAAGCCACGGCUAACUACGUGCCAGCAGCCGCGGUAAUACGUAGGUGGCAAGCGUUGUCCGGAUUUAUUGGGCGUAAAGCGAGCGCAGGCGGCUAGAUAAGUCUGGUGUUAAAGCCCGGGGGCUCAACCCCGGUUCGCAUCGGAAACUGUGUAGCUUGAGUGCAGAAGAGGAGAGUGGAAUUCCAUGUGUAGCGGUGAAAUGCGUAGAUAUAUGGAGGAACACCAGUGGCGAAGGCGGCUCUCUGGUCUGUAACUGACGCUGAGGCUCGAAAGCGUGGGGAGCGAACAGGAUUAGAUACCCUGGUAGUC
rnacentral:rRNA from 1 species